CUAAUUUGCAUGGUACAAUGUGAAGAAAAGUUUAAAAUCGAUAUGAGAUCAAAGUGUACACACAUCCCUGAUGGUUAUAGGUAUGAUUAAUCAAUGCACAUUAUUCCAAAGACGAAAAAGCUUGUCUUUGUAAUGUCUAAUCAAAAUCUGCUCAGACUAUGAAACAAGUUUACUUAAAAUUUGGCAUAUGAAUAAACAAUGAACACUCAUUUAUUUUAAAAUACACACAAAUUAAUAAAUGAUGUUUUAGUAUUUCAAACUAGUUCUAAGUGUUACUAAUAAAUAACAAUUAAUUCCAUAGGUGAUGCCAAAAAAAACUAACAAAAAACAAUAGAUUACAAAAAAAAGUUGGCAUUAUCAUUGGGAUACAUUGAGAUGCAUUCAAUGAUGAACUGCACUAGGGCUCCAAAUAUUGGUUUAAAAAAAAUGGUAGUGGGUUAGUCCUUCAUUACAAAGUACACGAAGGGGCAGCACAUCCUGACAAAUAUUUUCUGCCCAAGAUUUUGUCUGUUAACCAUUAACUAGAUUAACAGACUAGUGCUACAGGUCUUCCUUAUGAAGUGUAAUACCAUUUGGUAAUUUUUUAUUAUAUUUAAACUACUACCUGUAGGCCAUCCUGAAUGGGUAUAGCUCAGAUUCUCAGAACGCUUGAGUAGUCAGUCUACUUCAGAUCUGGCUUCAUUCACAAUCCAAUCAAUUCCUUAUAGAAAUACAUCACAUUAUUGAAGUAAAACGAGUUUGCAAACACCAUUUCAUGUCAACUUUAAACAAUCCAGUCAUGCUAUGUGACAGCCAAACUCUGGAAAUAUCAACACUGAAAAUUAGUUUCCAUUUGAAAUGAUUACUUACCAUUUUGAACAGGUUCCUGGCGGCAAGAAAGAAAACACAUAUGCAUGCGCACUGACACCAGCAGUGUGCAACAGAUGUAAUGAUGUGAGUCAUGGAAUAAAUGUUAUUCACCACAGCUGCUAACCGCUAUUGUGGUGUAGAGUGCAACUUAAUUAUCCUAUCUCUGGCUAUGAUUUCUAAGUGUUACUUGGAAUUACGAAGAGGUCAUGACUGGUUUGUUUGUGUCCCUUGGUGGGAAUGGAUUGGAAGCAGAAGUGAACAGAGAAUGGACAGACACACUGUUAGUGGAGCAGAGUUGUACAGGGACGUGUUUUGUGCUCACAGCGGGAUGUCUGGCAGUAUCUUUUGCGCAACAAACUGCCCAGUCAUAGCACCGUGCUCAGGCUUAAGGGUUUUAAUUCCGAUGAGGCCUAGAUCAAUGAGCUUUUACAUUUGGGGGAGUCUGCGUGGGUGAGAAAGCCACAAGAAGACGAGGUAAAUAGGGAAGGGGAUGGGCAUAUGCACAAAAACCUGUGGAAGACAACCUCUGGCCCUGGUCCAGAGGAACACUAAGCAAUGUACUGCAGUGGAGAGAGCGGAGCACCUCGGGGAUCACAGCAAAUUGGUCAGCUUUGAUUUGUUAUCGAUUGGUCAUGUUGCUCAUGCUCCCUAAAUAUCAACCUGCACUGGACAGACUUGUAUGCCACAGAAAAUAUCAUAAAUAUGCGAUGAACACUGCAGUAUUGCCUAUUCACUCCAUAUCGCAAGAUUUGUGCAUUUAUCUGCAUUCAUGUGUUGAGCUCGUAUCAUUCUGAACAUCAGUCUUUAUAUACUUUUCUUGUAAGACUUUUAAGAAAUCUGGCACUUUUUUGAAAUGUGAACAGAAUUAAUUUUAAUUAUGUGUUUGCUUACAGGCAGUCUGAUACCAGCAAAAACACAUUGCAGGUAACAUACAUAAAAGUAUCCAGCAUUCCUGAUAUAGGAG
ensembl:lncRNA